CAUACUGCUAUGAGAGUUAUGUUUAUAAAAAUACAAAGAGGAAAGACAGUGCCAUAGAAAUUCAGUAUCUGGCAUCAUUGGUUUUCAUGUCUUUGUGCAUGUUAAACCUGGUAUUUCUAUCGAUACAUUA
rnacentral:snoRNA from 1 species